rnacentral:rRNA from 1 species
UGGCCUUGACAUACUAAGAACUUUCCAGAGAUGGAUUGGUGCCUUCGGGAACUUUAGAUACAGGUGCUGCAUGGCUGUCGUCAGCUCGUGUCGUGAGAUGUUGGGUUAAGUCCGCAACGAGCGCAACCCUUUUCCUUAUUUGCCAGCGGGUAAUGCCGGGAACUUUAAGGAUACUGCCAGUGACAAACUGGAGGAAGGCGGGGACGACGUCAAGUCAUCAUGGCCCUUACGGCCAGGGCUACACACGUGCUACAAUGGUCGGUACAAAGGGUUGCUACCUCGCGAGAGGAUGCUAAUCUCAAAAAGCCGAUCGUAGUCCGGAUCGCAGUCUGCAACUCGACUGCGUGAAGUCGGAAUCGCUAGUAAUCGCGGAUCAGAAUGCCGCGGUGAAUACGUUCCCGGGCCUUGUACACACCGCCCGUCACACCAUGGGAGUUUGUUGCACCAGAAGUAGGUAGUCUAACCGCAAGGAGGACGCUUACCACGGUGUGGCCGAUGACUGGGGUGAAGUCGUAACAAGGUAAGCGUAGAUGA